CGUAGGGGGCGAGCGUUGUCCGGAAUCAUUGGGCGUAAAGAGCUCGUAGGCGGCUCAGUAAGUCGGGUGUGAAGCCCCCAGGCUCAACCUGGGGACGCCACCCGAUACUGCUGUGGCUAGAGUCCAGUAGGGGAGUGUGGAAUUCCCGGUGUAGCGGUGAAAUGCGCAGAUAUCGGGAGGAACACCAGCGGCGAAGGCGGCACUCUGGGCUGGAACUGACGCUGAGGAGCGAAAGCGUGGGUAGCAAACAGGAUUAGAUACCCUGGUAGUCCACGCCGUAAACGUUGGGCACUAGGUGUGGGGACCCUCCAACGGUCUCCGUGCCGUAGCUAACGCAUUAAGUGCCCCGCCUGGGGAGUACGGCCGCAAGGCUA
rnacentral:rRNA from 1 species